rnacentral:rRNA from 1 species
AGUCGAGGGGCAUCAGGAAGAAAGCUUGCUUUCUUUGCUGGCGACCGGCGCACGGGUGAGUAACACGUAUCCAACCUGCCCUUUACUCGGGGAUAGCCUUUCGAAAGAAAGAUUAAUACCCGAUGGCAUAAUGAUUCCGCAUGGUUUCAUUAUUAAAGGAUUCCGGUAAAGGAUGGGGAUGCGUUCCAUUAGGUUGUUGGUGAGGUAACGGCUCACCAAGCCUUCGAUGGAUAGGGGUUCUGAGAGGAAGGUCCCCCACAUUGGAACUGAGACACGGUCCAAACUCCUACGGGAGGCAGCAGUGAGGAAUAUUGGUCAAUGGGCGCUAGCCUGAACCAGCCAAGUAGCGUGAAGGAUGAAGGCUCUAUGGGUCGUAAACUUCUUUUAUAUAAGAAUAAAGUGCAGUAUGUAUACUGUUUUGUAUGUAUUAUAUGAAUAAGGAUCGGCUAACUCCGUGCCAGCAGCCGCGGUAAUACGGAGGAUCCGAGCGUUAUCCGGAUUUAUUGGGUUUAAAGGGAGCGUAGGUGGACUGGUAAGUCAGUUGUGAAAGUUUGCGGCUCAACCGUAAAAUUGCAGUUGAUACUGUCAGUCUUGAGUACAGUAGAGGUGGGCGGAAUCCGUGGUGUAGCGGUGAAAUGCUUAGAUAUCACGAAGAACUCCGAUUGCGAAGGCAGCUCACUGGACUGCAAC